rnacentral:rRNA from 1 species
CAGCAGUAGCCACGGUAAUACGUAGGGUGCGAGCGUUAAUCGGAAUUACUGGGCGUAAAGCGUGCGCAGGCGGUUCGUUAAGACAGAUGUGAAAUCCCCGGGCUUAACCUGGGAACUGCAUUUGUGACUGACGGGCUAGAGUAUGGCAGAGGGGGGUAGAAUUCCACGUGUAGCAGUGAAAUGCGUAGAGAUGUGGAGGAAUACCGAUGGCGAAGGCAGCCCCCUGGGCCAAUACUGACGCUCAUGCACGAAAGCGUGGGGAGCAAACAGGAUUAGAUACCCCCGUAGUCCCUGUCUCUUAUAC